CUAUCGUUAUUACGUCACACUAUACACCGGGAAUCGGAGGGUUGCGGGUACGAGCGCAGUUGUUUGCAUCAAGUUGAUUGGGAAAAGGAAAACAGACAAAGUGCAUAUACUACAGGUAUUAUAUGGAGUAAACUAACUACAUUAAUAAAACAUAUCAAUGUGAGUUUAGUUUAUUUUUUUGUCCCUUCGUUACAUUAAAGAGGAAUGGCAUAAUUAAUUAAAGUCAAGGAGACAGAAUAAAACGGCAAAACUACAGAAGUUAACCACGUCAGUGAAUAGGCACAGUAUAGUGGAGAAAAAAUGACGUGGCUGUUAAAACUUACAUUUAAAAAACGAAAUUGCAACAGAAAACUUCAAUUUACAGAAUCCAGGCGAGAGAAUCUUCACAAAGGGAAGCAUCAAUUCAUUCCUGAUAAGAACCUACAGUUGAACAUGGGUCAGUCGACCCUAAGGGAUAGGCGAAGGCCGUUCUGAAGCGGGGUGAUGUUCGCGUCGCCCCGGCGGACCGAAAGGGAAUCGGGUUAAUAUUCCCGAACCUCGACGCGGAGAUUGGCGCUCCGGCGCCUAGUGCGGCAACGCAAACGAACUCGGAAACGCCGACGUGGGUCCCGGGAAGAGUUCUCUUUUCUUGGUAAGGGGCGGCGACCCUGGAAUCGGUUCGCCCGGAGAUAGGGACAUGGGCCCCGUAAAGCAGCACGUCUCUUGUGCUGUCCGGUGAGCUCGCGUCGGCCCUUGAAAAUCCGAGGGAGACGGUGUAAUUUUCGUGCGAGGUCGUACCCAUAUCCGCAGCAGGUCUCCAAGGUGAACAGCCUCUGGCCGAUAGAACAAUGUAGGUAAGGGAAGUCGGCAAACUAGAUCCGUAACUUCGGGAAAAGGAUUGGCUCUAGGGGCUGUGGUCGGUCGGGCUGAGGUACGAAGCGGGGCGCGGCGCUGUACCGGACUGGGCGAACGACGGCCUCCCUCGCGGGGGGGCUGGCGUGAGCCUGGACCUGUGUCGGCGUCUUCCCGUGGAAUGCCGAC
rnacentral:ncRNA from 1 species